rnacentral:tRNA from 1 species
GCGGAUGUGGCGGAAUUGGCAGACGCACUGGAUUUAGGUUCCAGCGCCCGCAAGGGCUUGGGAGUUCGACCCUCCCCAUCCGCACCA